AUGCCAUGAUAAGGACACCUUCUGAGCAGUUCUUUGAAUCUUUCUCAAGCCUCAUACAACUCUUAUCUUCAAGUUGAUGGAAAGAAGUAAUCUCAUUCCGCAAUUU
rfam:Citrus sinensis cultivar Ridge Pineapple sweet orange scaffold02516_contig_3, whole genome shotgun sequence.